rnacentral:rRNA from 1 species
GUGUCAGCAGCCGCGGUAAUACGGAGGAUGCAAGCGUUAUCCGGAUUCAUUGGGUUUAAAGGGUGCGUAGGCGGAGUACUAAGUCAGUGGUGAAAUCCUGCAGCUUAACUGUAGAACUGUCAUUGAUACUGGUAUUCUUGAAUGCAGUUGAGGUAGGCGGAAUGUGUAAUGUAGCGGUGAAAUGCUUAGAUAUUACACAGAACACCGAUUGCGAAGGCAGCUUACUAAACUGUGAUUGACGCUGAGGCACGAAAGCGUGGGGAGCAAACAGGAUUAGAUACCCUGGUAGUCCACGCCGUAAACUAUGAUCACUCGCUGUUGGCGAUAAAUUGUCAGCGGCUGAGCGAAAGCAUUAAGUGAUCCACCUGGGGAGUACGAUCGCAAGGUUGAAACUUAAAGGAAUUGACGGGG